AAUAUCCUGAAGUGUUCGUUAGCCAUUGUUUUUGAACCUACAUGACAUAAAAGGGAUUCCUAUAUAUCAUAUUGAUGUCGGGCCUCAAGCUAAUUCCCUUUGGGCGGAGGAUGGCAGAUAUAUGGUUGCGGUUGCCCACCUAUCUAUAGAUAGGUGUCAAAAGAUGACGACGGCACUUCGGGUUUUUU
rnacentral:other from 1 species